rnacentral:rRNA from 1 species
AUUGAACGCUGGCGGCAGGCCUAACACAUGCAAGUCGAGCGAGCGGCGGACGGGUGAGUAAUGUAUGGGAAACUGCCUGAUGGAGGGGGAUAACUACUGGAAACGGUAGCUAAUACCGCAUACCAUCAGAUGUGCCCAGAUGGGAUUAGCUAGUAGGUGGGGUAAAGGCUCACCUAGGCGACGCUCCCUAGCUGGUCUGAGAGGAUGACCAGCAACACUGGAGCUGAGACACGGGCCAGACUCCUACGGGAGGCAGCAGUGGGGAAGAUUGCACAAUGGGCGCAAGCCUGAUGCAGCCAUGCCGCGUGUAUGAAGAAGGCCUUCGGGUUGUAAAGUACUUUCAGCGAGGAGGCGUUACUCGCAGAAGAAGCACCGGCUAACUCCGUGCCAGCAGCCGCGGUAAUAC